ensembl:misc_RNA 7SK 7SK RNA
GGAUGUUAGAACAAUCUGACAGUGACAUCUGUCACUCCAUCGUAUGCCAGCUUUGAUUCGAAGGAUUUGGCUAGCAUGAAGAUGUCCAGUGAUUCCCUCACUGUGCUAUAUUUGUCAUCCUGCCUUUGGCAUUAGCUGCAUCCUCAGGAUGUCACUCAAGUCAAAGAGGGUGAUACUCCCAGAUGGAGGAGGACCAUUCUGCAGUCGAAGCAACAGAAUUAGCUAAACACUCCUCCUAAAACCUCAAAACAGAUCUGCAAGAUUCAUAUUGAAUUGCCAAUUUAAGUUUCAGUUUGUAAAACAGUAGACAUAUUUUAAAAUGUGGUGAAAUUG